GUGAACCUUUACUAUAGCUUGACACUGAACACUGGUCCUUGAUGUGCAGGAUAGGUGGGAGGCUUUGAAGUGUGGACGCCAGUCUGCAUGGAGCCGUCCUUGAAAUACCACCCUUUAAUGGCUGGUGUUCUAACGUAGACCCGUGAACCGGGUUGCGGACAGUGUCUGGUGGGUAGUUUGACUGGGGCGGUCUCCUCCUAAAGCGUAACGGAGGAGCACGAAGGUUGGCUAAUCCUGGUCGGACAUCAGGAGGUUAGUGCAAUGGCAUAAGCCAGCUUGACUGCGAGCGUGACGGCGCGAGCAGGUGCGAAAGCAGGUCAUAGUGAUCCGGUGGUUCUGAAUGGAAGGGCCAUCGCUCAACGGAUAAAAGGUACUCCGGGGAUAACAGGCUGAUACCGCCCAAGAGUUCAUAUCGACGGCGGUGUUUGGCACCUCGAUGUCGGCUCAUCACAUCCUGGGGCUGAAGUAGGUCCCAAGGGUAUGGCUGUUCGCCAUUUAAAGUGGUACGCGAGCUGGGUUUAGAACGUCGUGAGACAGUUCGGUCCCUAUCUGCCGUGGGCGCUGGAGAACUGAGGGGGGCUGCUCCUAGUACGAGAGGACCGGAGUGGACGCAUCACUGGUGUUCGGGUUGUCAUGCCAAUGGCACUGCCCGGUAGCUAAAUGCGGAAGAGAUAAGUGCUGAAAGCAUCUAAGCACGAAACUUGCCCCGAGAUGAGUUCUCCCUGAGACUACAAGUCUCCUGAAGGAACGUUGAAGACGACGACGUUGAUAGGCCGGGUGUGUAAGCGCAGCGAUGCGUUGAGCUAACCGGUACUAAUGAACCGUGAGGCUUAACCUUACA
rnacentral:rRNA from 3 species